AGAGUUUGAUCCUGGCUCACGAAGAACGCUGGCGGCGUGCCUAACACAUGCAAGUCGAGCGGAGCAGUCUUGAUGAAGUUUUCGGAUGGAAUCAGGAUUGUCUUAGCGGCGGACGGGUGAGUAACACGUGGAUAACCUGCCUUAUACUGGGGGAUAACAGCCAGAAAUGGCGGCUAAUACCGCAUAAGCGCACGGCGCCGCAUGGCGCAGUGUGAAAAACUCCGGUGGUAUAAGAUGGAUCCGCGCCUGAUUAGCUAGUUGGCGGGGCAGCGGCCCACCAAGGCGACGAUCAGUAGCCGGCCUGAGAGGGCGACCGGCCACAUUGGGACUGAGACACGGCCCAAACUCCUACGGGAGGCAGCAGUGGGGAAUAUUGCACAAUGGGGGGAACCCUGAUGCAGCGACGCCGCGUGAGUGAAGAAGUAUUUCGGUAUGUAAAGCUCUAUCAGCAGGGAAGAAGAUGACGGUACCUGACUAAAAAGCCCCGGCUAACUACGUGCCAGCAGCCGCGGUAAUACGUAGGGGGCAAGCGUUAUCCGGAUUUACUGGGUGUAAAGGGAGCGUAGACGGCAGGGCAAGUCUGGAGUGAAAGCCCGGGGCCCAACCCCGGGACUGCUUUGGAAACUGCCAUGCUGGAGUGCUGGAGAGGUAAGCGGAAUUCCUAAUGUAGCGGUGAAAUGCGUAGAUAUUACGAGGAACACCAGUGGCGAUGCGGCUUACUGGACAGUAACUGACGUUGAGGCUCGAAAGCGUGAGGAGCAAACAUGAUUAGAUACCCUGGUAGUCCACGCCGUAAAACGAUGAAUGCUAGGUGUCGGUGGGCAAAGCCCAUCGGUGCCGCCGCAAACGCAGUAAGCAUUCCACCUGGGGAGUACGUUCGCAAGAUGAAACUCAAGGAAUUGACGGGACCCGCACAGCGGUGGAGCAUGUGGUUUAAUUCGAGCAACGCGAGACCUACAGUCUUGACUCCCAUGAAUGCCUGGCAAGCAGCAGUCUUCAGACAUGGAAGACAGUGCUGCAUGGUUGUCGUCACUCGUGUCGUGAGAUGUUGAGUUAAGUCCC
rnacentral:rRNA from 1 species